AGAGUUUGAUCMUGGCUCAGGAUGAACGCUAGCGGGAGGCCUAACACAUGCAAGUCGAGGGGUAACAGGUGUAGCAAUACAUGCUGACGACCGGCGCACGGGUGAGUAACGCGUAUGUAACCUGCCCUAUACUGGGGGAUAGCUCGGAGAAAUUCGGAUUAAUACCCCAUAGUACAUAACUAUCGCAUGAUACUUAUGUUAAAGCUUCGGUGGUAUAGGAUGGGCAUGCGUCCCAUUAGCUAGUUGGUGAGGUAACGGCUCACCAAGGCGACGAUGGGUAUGGGGUCUAAAAGGAUGGUCCCACACACUGGUACUGAGACACGGACCAGACUCCUACGGGAGGCAGCAGUGAGGAAUAUUGGUCAAUGGGCGGAAGCCUGAACCAGCCAUCCCGCGUGCAGGAAGACGGCCCUAGAGGUUGUAAACUGCUUUUCUACAGGAAUAAUAAGGACUACGCGUAGUUCGAUGCCAGUACUGUAGGAAUAAGCAUCGGCUAACUCCGUGCCAGCCGCCGCGGUAAUWC
rnacentral:rRNA from 1 species